CCUACGGGAGGCAGCAGUGGGGAAUAUUGGGCAAUGGAGGCAACUCUGACCCAGCAACGCCGCGUGAAUGAUGAAGGUCUUCGGAUUGUAAAGUUCUUUUCUAAGGGAAGAAGAAAGUGACGGUACCUUAGGAAUAAGCCUCGGCUAACUACGUGCCAGCAGCCGCGGAAAUACGUAGGAGGCAAGCGUUAUCCGGAAUGACUGGGCGUAAAGGGUGCGUAGGUGGUUUGACAAGUUAGUAGCGCAACUCCGGAGCUCAACUUCGGAACUACUACUAAAACUGUUGGACUUGAGUGCAGGAGGGGCAAUCGGAAUUCCUAGUGUAGCGGUGGAAUGCGUAGAUAUUAGGAGGAACACCAGUGGCGAAGGCGGAUUGCUGGACUGUAACUGACACUGAGGCACGAAAGCGUGGGGAGCAAACAGGAUUAGAUACCCGGGUAGUC
rnacentral:rRNA from 1 species